rnacentral:rRNA from 1 species
CCUACGGGAGGCAGCAGUAGGGAAUCUUUCACAAUGGGCGAAAGCCUGAUGGAGCAACGCCGCGUGCAGGAUGAAGGCCUUCGGGUUGUAAACUGCUUUUAUAAGCGAGAAAUAUGAUGGUAACUUAUGAAUAAGGAUCGGCUAACUACGUGCCAGCAGCCGCGGUCAUACGUAGGAUCCGAGCAUUAUCCGGAGUGACUGGGUGUAAAGAGUUGCGUAGGUGGCAUAAUAAGUAGCUAGUGAAAUCUGGUGGCUCAACCAUUCAGACUAUUAGCGAAACUGUUAAGCUCGAGACCGUUAGGGGUAACUGGAAGUUCUAGUGUAGGAGUGAAAUCCGUAGAUAUUAGAAGGAACACCAAUAGCGUAGGCAGGUUGCUGGGACGGUUCUGACACUAAGGCACGAAAGCGUAGGGAGCAAACGGGAUUAGAUACCCCAGUAGUC